rnacentral:rRNA from 1 species
UGGGGAAUCUUGCGCAAUGGCCUAACGGCUGACGCAGCGACGCCGCGUGAGGGAUGACGCUCUUCGGAGUGUAAACCUCUUUUGCCUGAGACGAAUUGCCAGCUUCAGCUGGUUUGACUGUAUCGGGUGAAUAAGCACCGGCUAACUCCGUGCCAGCAGCCGCGGUAAUACGGGGGGUGCGAGCGUUGUCCGGAAUCACUGGGCGUAAAGGGCGCGUAGGUGGUCUGAUAAGGGUGUGGUGAAAGCCCGGGGCUCAACCCCGGGUCGGCCGUGCCGACUGUCAGACUAGAGUACUGUAGGGGCAGGCGGAAUUCCGGGUGUAGCGGUGGAAUGCGUAGAGAUCCGAGGAAGACCGGUGGCGAAGGCGGCCUGCUU